rnacentral:rRNA from 1 species
ACGUAUACCAACCCUUUCCCUUACUCGAGGGAUAGCCCGUGAAAACCGGAUUAACACCUGAUAGUUUCACUAGAUGGCAUCUGACGGUGAAUAAAGCUUUGUGGUAAGGAUGGGGGAUGCGUCUGAUUAGCUUGUUGGCGGGGUAACGGCCCACCAAGGCAACGAUCAGUAGGGGUUCUGAGAGGAAGGUCCCCCACAUUGGAACUGAGACACGGUCCAAACUCCUACGGGGGGCAGCAGUGAGGAAUAUUGGUCAAUGGGCGAGAGCCUGAACCAGCCAAGUAAGCGUGCAGGAUGACGGCCCUAUGGGUUGUAAACUGCUUUUGUACGGGAAUAAAGUGACCUACGUGUAGGUUUUUGCAUGUACCGUAAGAAUAAGGACCGGCUAAUUCCGUGCCAGCCGCCGC